rnacentral:rRNA from 1 species
UACGGAGGUGCCGAGCGUUAGGCGGAAUCACUGGGCUUAAAGCGUGUGUAGGCGGGUCGUUAAGUGUCUUGUGAAAUCCCCCGGCUCAACCGGGGAAUGGCUGGGCAUACUGGCGAUCUUGAGCAGUCUAGGGGCAGAUGGAACAAGUGGUGGAGCGGUGAAAUGCGUAGAUAUCACUUGGAACGCCAACGGUGAAGACAGUCUGCUGGGGACUUGCUGACGCUGAGACACGAAAGCCAGGGGAGCGAACGGG